CUGGACCUCUAUCUUUGAGGUUAUGAAAGAAAUCCUUAGGAACUUGGAGUUUUACCUUCUUGCCGUCUUAAGGGAUUCAUAUAUUCCAGGGGAAUACCAAGGUGGGUCAAUUUGGGCGGAGAGAUUGGAUGACUCCCGGUGAGUGUUUCUUUUGGAUAGUGAAUCUGUUGCGUAAGUCUGGACUAACCGGUAUGAUUGGACUCCUUAGGUUGUUUUCUGAUAGUGAAUUUUGGCUUCCUAUCAGGCGUUAACCUGUAUGGAUGUCAGACUGCCUGUGACCACAGAACAGAACAGGACUCAUUCAAGGCGGUGCCUGAGCAGGUGAAGGAGCUUCCUGGGCAAACCUGGAGCCUCAGUCUCUAGAGCCCACAUAAAGGUGGAAAGAGAGAGGCUGAAGGGAAAGUUCCCUGAGUUUAACAAGUACUAGCUGUUCUUCCAGAGGACCAAGGCUCAGUUCCCUCGAGCCAGCUUACAACUGUCUGAUGCCCUGUUCUGGCUUCCUCAGGGACCAUAUGCAUGCAUGCAAAGUCAUGCAUGUGGACAGAACCCCUAUGCACAUAAAAUAAGAGUGAGAAAAGGAAAACCAGCUUUACAAAGCUCUCCUCUGACCUCGUGACAGUUUGGUCCCUUCUAGACUCAGACAAAUGCCAUAUUCUCUCUCAUAUGUGGAGUAUAUAUAUUUAAAUAAGUAAGUAAGUAAAUAAAUAAAUAAAUAAAUAUGCCAUGUAGUGGUGACGCAUGCCUUUAAUCCCAGCACUUGGGAGGCAGAGGCAGGCAGAUUUCUGAGUUCAAGGCCAGCCUGGUCUACAGAGUGAGUUCCAGGACAUACAGGGCUACUACACAGAGAUACCUUGUCUUGAAAAACCUAAAUAAACAAAC
rnacentral:lncRNA from 1 species